rnacentral:rRNA from 1 species
GAUGAACGCUGGCGGCGUGCCUAAUACAUGCAAGUCGAGCGAACAGACGAGGAGCUUGCUCCUCUGACGUUAGCGGCGGACGGGUGAGUAACACGUGGAUAACCUACCUAUAAGACUGGGAUAACUUCGGGAAACCGGAGCUAAUACCGGAUAAUAUAUUGAACCGCAUGGUUCAAUAGUGAAAGACGGUUUUGCUGUCACUUAUAGAUGGAUCCGCGCCGCAUUAGCUAGUUGGUAAGGCAACGGCUUACCAAGGCGACGAGGCGUAGCCGACCUGAGAGGGUGAUCGGCCACACUGGAACUGAGACACGGUCCAGACUCCUACGAGAGGCAGCAGUAGGGAAUCUUCCGCAAUGGGCGAAAGCCUGACGGAGCAACGCCGCGUGAGUGAUGAAGGUCUUCGGAUCGUAAAACUCUGUUAUUAGGGAAGAACAAAUGUGUAAGUAACUAUGCACGUCUUGACGGUACCUAAUCAGAAAGCCACGGCUAACUACGUG